ACCUGCGGAGGGAUCAUUACUGAGUUUACGCUCUACAACCCUUUGUGAACAUACCUAUAACUGUUGCUUCGGCGGGUAGGGUCUCCGCGACACUCCCGGCCUCCCGCCCCCGGGCGGGUCGGCGCCCGCCGGAGGAUAACCAAACUCUGAUGUAACGACGUUUCUUCUGAGUGGUACAAGCAAAUAAUCAAAACUUUUAACAACGGAUCUCUUGGUUCUGGCAUCGAUGAAGAACGCAGCGAAAUGCGAUAAGUAAUGUGAAUUGCAGAAUUCAGUGAAUCAUCGAAUCUUUGAACGCACAUUGCGCCCGCCAGCAUUCUGGCGGGCAUGCCUGUUCGAGCGUCAUUUCAACCCUCAAGCUCUGCUUGGUGUUGGGGCCCUACAGCUGAUGUAGGCCCUCAAAGGUAGUGGCGGACCCUCCCGGAGCCUCCUUUGCGUAGUAACUUUACGUCUCGCACUGGGAUCCGGAGGGACUCUUGCCGUAAAACCCCCAAUUCUCCAAAGGUUGACCUCGGAUCAGGUAGGAAUACCCGCUGAACUUAAGCAUAUCAAUAGCUUCUGAACUUUUCUCAAGGUUGACCUCGGAUCAGGUAGGGAUACCCGCUGAACUUAAGCAUAUCAAUAA
rnacentral:rRNA from 1 species